ACUACGUGAAAUGGUGCCUCCACCUCUUUCUCUCUCCUCUUCCCCCCUCCUCUCUUAAUUCUGAUUUAGGGAGGAGCCCGUGCUUUUCCUUAAACCGACGUUGUCUUACUUGAUGAACGGCGGCACGAUCGAAGUCCCUCACCCUCUGUUAUCGUUGGACCAUGAGGUGGCGGUGAUCAUGUCUCAGAAAGCUCGCGAUGUUCCGCAAUCCACCGCCAUGGAUUACGUUGCGGGUUAUGCACUUGCUUUGGAUAUGACUGCCAGCGAAAUUCAAGCUUCUGCUAAGGCCAUACCGAUUAAAGAUGCUAUGGUGUUGUCAAAGAUACACCAGACGUAUAAAGUUGGAUAUUUCAAGCUUUUCAAAGCGCUUCAGGUAUAAAUUCACCUCACACUUCCUUGGCAGGGGAGAAUCGGACCAUUGAGUGGGCUAUACGACUAACAGUUGCUCUGAACAUUGCCAAAGCAUUAGAUCACUGCAGCAGCGAAGGCAGCCCAUUGUACCAUGACUUAAAUGCAUAUAUGGUUCUCUUUGAUGAGAUUUAACUCACUAAAUAGGUAAGUCGAGAAAAAUUCAGCGUUGCAACUCCUUUUUUGGUAUGCUGUUUAAAUCUGUCUGGCAUUUUAUUCAUUCUUCAUGUUUAACUUUGUUCUGUAGGCUUCCUAUGGCUAACUUAAGCAUUUAAGUUAUUCAUUUUUUAAAGAUGUUAGCUAUUUUGGAACAGUUUGAAAGUAAAUGCAUGACUCAAGGAUGACUUUUAGCUUAUCCCACUUAUCUUUUACGCUCUCGCUUCAUUCAUGUGCUGAGUCAUGGUUUAACUGUCUAAAUUCAAGAACUAAAAAUGGCCAGCAGGCUAAAAAGCGAUUAGAUUUUGAGAUGCAUAUUUUGGUUUCUCAUUAUUUCUUUGUUUUGUAAUUUUCAUUUAUUAAUGUUCUUUUGGCAGCUUAUUUGAUUGUAUUUGUGUAACAAAUUGGUUACUUGACAUUUUGAGAGGAUUCGAGCAUUAAUAUUGUCAGUAAUGGUGAGACUACUGGUUUUCCAGCCACCCCACACAAUGAGCAGCUGAGUUAUGCAUCUCCAAGCAAGAAAAGGCCGGAUGCUAUUAGUGAUUCUGCCAAAGAAUCAAAACAAAGUGGUAGGUAUUUACAUUUCCAUGUAUAGGAUUUUGUGGAUUUUAUGAGAUAUAUUGUUUGUUCUUCUCUCAGCUUUGAGUUUUAGAUAUGUUUAGCUCCUUUUCGAAGGACAAACAGAUUUUGCGCUAAUUUAAUGACUUAUGGCUUAUCUGUUUUUUCUUCAAAAUUCAUGUGCAAAAUUUUGUUGAGUCAACAUUCAAUGCCCUUCCUUCGAAUCAAGUUAAAGGUAGGAUCAUUAAAUCAUACUAUUUUCAUCGCCUCCUUAUCCUCUUGCUGAACAGAAUGGAGUAAAUUGUCUUCAUUUGCAUUCUUGCAUUUGAACUUGCAAGUCUGUUUAUGCUAAAUUAAUCAUAUUUAUUUUUUGGUGUCUUUGAUUCUGCUGAGUUGCACCUUAUUGUCUAUUUUUAGAUUUCAUUUAGACUCAUAAACUGAGGCAUUAUGUAUGGCAUUAUGUAUGCCCUAGAACGAAUGGAGAAGUUCGGGCAACAAUGUCGGUGGCCGCCUUUGUAAAUAGAGUGAAAUAUACGAAUGAUCAAUUAGCCAUCAUAAAAUAAUGUGGUCUAUGUAUAUAUUAUGUACUUGCACAUCAAGUAUGUAAGUAGUACCAUAUGUACUGUUUUCAAUCCUGCAGCAUCACGCGGGCAUUUUUUGCUGGUAAUAUCUAUAACACCUUCAAGGGCUUUCUGA